rnacentral:lncRNA from 1 species
UUAUAACGUAUUAAGAGAUAACAGGGAGAGAUUGAAGAUUAACAAGCAAUUGCGGCUGAUUUAAUCAACCGAAUUCGCUACUCAACAAUAUACAUCGUCCAACUGGUCCAAUGAGUUUUCAACUUUUUUUUUCAUCUUCGGAACCCUUGACUUCCAUAAAGAUAGGUUGUUUUGUUGAAGAUAACAGCAUGGCCCAUAUUCUAUCAGUUAUCACAACAUUAUUUUGUGAUUCUCUGCAUAGCAUUG